CAAGUGCUUGCCUCCCAAGAUACUGGGGUUGAGUAUGAUGGUGGAGAGGGAAAGGGUGUUGAGUCACAUGAAAACUGUUUAUACCAUUGUGAAAGCAGAGCUGUCCUUAGCCUUUUCCCUGCUGUGUCUGCUCAGGCAUAAACCCUCAUGUGAAGUCAGGAUGUUUCAUGAAAAUUCUUCCCGAUUAUGAGCACAUGUAGUACCAAGAUGUGUACACCUGCUUGCUCUACAGAUACAGACACAUCUUGGGAUUGUGGCAGCCAGAUACCGGGCCCUAUGGAGGACUGCUGAACGUGGUGGUGAAUGGCUUGUUCAUUAUUGGUUGGAUGUACCUGCCUCCUCAUGACCCUCAUGUGG